rnacentral:rRNA from 1 species
GGAACAGAGGGUGCCGAGCGUUAGGCGGAAUCACUGGGCUUAAAGCGUGUGUAGGCGGGUCCGUAAGUACCUUGUCGAAAUCCCAACGGCUCAACCGUGGAACUGCUUGGUAUACUGCGGGUCUUGAGCCACUUAGGGGCAAGCGGAACAAACGGUGGAGCGGUGAAAUGCGUAGAUAUCGUUUGGAACGCCAAUGGUGAAAACAACUUGCUGGGGGUGUGCUGACGCUGAGACGGCGAAAGCCAGGGGAGCAAACGGG